AGUGAACGCUGGCGGUAGGCCUAACACAUGCAAGUCGAGCGGCAGCACAGUAAGAGCUUGCUCUUACGGGUGGCGAGUGGCGGGCGGGUGAGGCAUACAUAGGCAUCUACUUUUUCGUGGGGGACAUCGUAGGGCAACUUACGCUACUACCUAAUACGACCUACGGGUGAAAGCAGGAGAUCUUCGGACCUUGCGCGAUUGAAUGAGCCGAUGUCGGAUUAGCUAGUUGGCGAGGUAAAGGCUCACCAAGGCGACGAUGCGUAGCUGGUCUGAGAGGAUGAUCAGCCACACUGGAACUGAGACACGGUCCAGACUCCUACGGGAGGCAGCAGUAGGGAAUAUUGGACAAUGGGCGAAAGCCUGAUCCAGCCAUACCGCGUGAGUGAAGAAGGCCUUCGGAUCGUAAAACCCUGUUGUUGGGGAAGAAAAGCAGUAGGUUAAUACCUCGCUGUUCUGACGGUACCCAAAGAGUAAGCACCGGCUAACUUCGUG
rnacentral:rRNA from 1 species